GCAGCGGGUGCUGGAGGCGCCAACGGCGCCCGCAGCGCGCCGCCGGCCGAAUCGCCCCAGUCGCCGCCGGCCACCUCGGUGCCGCCGGCC
rnacentral:tRNA from 1 species